GCGGAAGGAUCAUUACAGAGUUCCUGCCCUCACGGGUAGAAACCCCACCCUUGUGUAUAUUAUAUUGUUGCUUUAGCAGGUCGCCCUCUGGGGCGUCGGCCUCGGCUGACUGUGCCUGCUAGAGGACCCUAAACUUUGAAAUACAGUGUCGUCUGAGUACUAUUUAAUAGUUAAAACUUUCAACAACGGAUCUCUUGGUUCUGGCAUCGAUGAAGAACGCAGCGAAAUGCGAUAAGUAAUGUGAAUUGCAGAAUUCAGUGAAUCAUCGAAUCUUUGAACGCACAUUGCGCCCCUUGGUAUUCCGGGGGGCAUGCCUGUUCGAGCGUCAUUUAGACCAACUCCCGCUCCGGCGGGGUCUUGGGCUGCGCCUUUGGGCGGGCCUUAAAACCAGUGGCGGUGCCCUAAGGCUCUACGCGUAGUAAUUCUUCUCGCGAUAGGGUCCUUGCGGUGUCUUGCCAGCAACCCCCAACUCUCUAGGGUUGACCUCGGAUCAGGUAGGGAUACCCGCUGAACUUAAGCAUAUCAAUAAGCGGAG
rnacentral:rRNA from 1 species